UUUCACCUGCAAGUCGAACGGCAGCACGGACUUCGGUCUGGUGGCGAGUGGCGAACGGGUGAGUAACAUAUCGGAACGUAUCCAAUAAUGGGGGAUAACUAAUCGAAAGGUUGGCUAAUACCGCAUACGCCCUACGGGGGAAAGCUAGGGACCUUCGGGCCUGGCGUUAAUGGAGCGGCCGAUAUCUGAUUAUCUAGUUGGUGGGGUAAAGGCCCACCAA
rnacentral:rRNA from 1 species